AUGAGUAGCACAACCUGCCCAAUCAUGAGCUAGAAUGUCCGGGGCCUAAACAACCCCGCCCGACGCUCUGUAGUGCAAGACACUGCAAACACGCACCACCUCGCCAUUCUUUGCAUUUAGAACACCAAGCUUGAGGAGUGGACAGCUGCGAUUGCUAGGGAAGUAGGGGGGCAGAGACUUGACGACUGCAUCGUCUUGCCAGGUAAUGGCACAAGAGGAGGCGCUGCCAUCUUCUGGGAUUCGACCCCGGUCUGAAUCCAGUCCCAUGCGAUCGGUGAGUUCUCCAUCGCGGCCAAAGUUUCAGUCCUCUCCUCAGGGUCUAGUUUUUGGCUGACAACGGUCUACGGCCCAUCAGAGGGGGCGCGAAAGGAUAGUUUUCUGGCUGAACUAGUGAGGAGCACCCCUCCCCAAGGCGAGCCCUGGCUCCUCAAUGGAGAUUUCAACAUUAUCUACGAGGCCCGCGACAAAAACAAUAGCGACAUAAAUAGGAGGAUUAUGGGAAAAAUUUAG
rnacentral:rRNA from 1 species